UACGAGUUGUGCAAACGUUAUUCGGAAUCACUGGGCUUAAAGGGUGCGUAGGCGGACAUGUAGGUCAGGUGUGAAAUCCCACGGCUCAACCGUGGAAUUGCGCUUGAAACCACUCGUCUUGAGGGGGUCAGGGGAGAGCGGAACUGAUGGUGGAGCGGUGAAAUGCGUUGAUAUCAUCAGGAACACCGGUGGCGAAAGCGGCUCUCUGGGAUCUUUCUGACGCUGAGGCACGAAAGCUAGGGGAGCAAACAGG
rnacentral:rRNA from 1 species